CCUACGGGGGGCUGCAGUAAGGAAUUUUCGUCAAUGGGCGCAAGCCUGAACGAGCAACGCCGCGUGUGGGAUGACGGCCUUCGGGUUGUAAACCACUUUUGAGGGGGACGAUCAUGACGGUACCCCUGGAAUAAGCCCCGGCUAACUCUGUGCCAGCAGCCGCGGUAAUACAGAGGGGGCAAGCGUUGUCCGGAAUUACUGGGCGUAAAGCGUACGCAGGUGGCCGUGCAAGUGUGAUGUGAAAGCCCCGCGCUUAACGCGGGGAGGCCAUUACAGACUGCAUAGCUCGAGGGAUGCAGAGGGUCGUGGAAUUGCCGGUGUAGUGGUGAAAUGCGUAGAGAUCGGCAGGAACACCAAGGACGAAGGUAGCGACCUGGGCACCACCUGACACUCAUGUACGACAGCGUGGGGAGCGAACCGGCUUAGAUACCCCGGUAGUC
rnacentral:rRNA from 1 species